rnacentral:rRNA from 1 species
ACGACUACAGGUGAAUCAUCGAAUCUUUGAACGCAACUUGCACUCUAGGUUCUCCUAGAGUAUGCCUAUUUGAGUAUCGGCACACCCCUCAAAUUCCCACAAGGGAUUUGGACCUUGUGAGUCAUGUGCGCACAUGGCGUGCGCACCGACUUGAAGUGUGUACACACACUCUGGCCCGUGGGUUGGUGGGGGUGGUACACGCUGACGUGAUAAGUCUAUUUCGUCGGCACACACACACCAUCCCGCGGGAACAGGGCCACGCUCUUUUUUUUCGAUCUCAAAUUAGGUAGGACUACCCGCUGAAUUUAAGCAUAUCAAUAAGCGGAGG